rnacentral:rRNA from 1 species
UCUGAUGUGAAAGCCCACGGCUCAACCGUGGAGGGUCAUUGGAAACUGGGGAACUUGAGUGCAGAAGAGAAAAGCGGAAUUCCACGUGUAGCGGUGAAAUGCGUAGAGAUGUGGAGGAACACCAGUGGCGAAGGCGGCUUUUUGGUCUGUAACUGACGCUGAGGCGCGAAAGCGUGGGGAGCAAACAGGAUUAGAUACC